AUUGAACGCUGGCGGCAGGCCUAAUACAUGCAAGUCGAGCGGAGCGGCGGACGGGUGGGUAAGGCCUAGGGAUCUGCCCGGUCGUGGGGGAUAACGUCCGGAAAGGGGCCCUUAUACAGCAUACUAUCAGCUGAGCCUAGGUCGGAUUAGCUAGUUGGUGGGGUAAAGGCCUACCAAGGCGAUGAUCCGUAACUGGUCUGAGAGGAUGAUCAGUCACACUGGAACUGAGACACGGUCCAGACUCCUACGGGAGGCAGCAGUGGGGAAUAUUGGACAAUGGGCGAAAGCCUGAUCCAGCCAUGCCGCGUGUGUGAAGAAGGUCUUCGGAUUGUAAAGCACUUUAAGUUGGGAGGCGUUACCAACAGAAUAAGCACCGGCUAACUUCGUGCCAGCAGCCGCGGUAAUUC
rnacentral:rRNA from 1 species